GCACCGCUAGUCUAAUGGUUAGGAUAUCUGCCUUCUAAGCAGAUGGUACGGGUUCGAUUCCCGGGCGGUGCA
rfam:Perkinsus marinus ATCC 50983 gcontig_1104296409082, whole genome shotgun sequence.